rnacentral:rRNA from 1 species
UACAGAGGGUGCGAGCGUUGUCCGGAAUCACUGGGCGUAAAGGGCGCGUAGGCGGCUUGAUAAGGUUGCGGUGAAAGCCCGGGGCUCAACCCCGGGUCGGCCGUGGCAACUGUCGAGCUGGAGCACUGUAGAGGCAGGUGGAAUCCGGUGUAGCGGUGGAAUGCGUAGAGAUCCGGAAGAACACCGGUGGCGAAGGCGGCCUGCUGGGCAGUGGCUGACGCUGAGGCGCGACAGCGUGGGGAGCAAACAGG